GGUCAGCCCGUUCUGCCGCCGCUGGAAGACCUGAGGUGGAGGAAGACCAGGGGGAAAAUCAGUGUGAUGGAGUGACUUCUUGAAGACAAGUCCUUGUUCUCAGCAAAGUGUCCUGAUGCGUUGCCAGAGUAAAUCGAAUCCCAGAUCUUGAUGCUUCACUCAGGGGUGUGUCCAUGGAUUGCACUGCCUUGGUGAUAGUUCCUGGGUGCUUCUGUCUCAUUGAUAUUGGGCUCCACGUGGCAAAUUCCUGAGCCCUUGAAGGUCCUGGGAGGGCAGAGAGUCAACAUGGAGGAACCUGAUGUCCUGCCAUACUGAAGAGCUUCAAGCUGAAUGAGUGAACUCUUUUUUGUCUCCAUUUGGCACCCAGAAAGAUCUCUGGUGGAGGUGCAUGACUUGGAGGUGCCUGAUUUGGAGGUGUGUUACUUUGGAGGUGUAUCACUUGUGGAUAAGCAGCACCCAAAUCCAGACCCACGCAGGGGGAAAUGAGCUACAUCCCAAGGAAAACCUUCUCUCCGAUAACUGCCUGUACUUUUGCAUUGGAAAACGUGUAACUUUGUGCCCAGCUCUUCAAAGCAUCCAGACUACUUUAAUCGAGGAUCUUCCACUCAAUUUACUCUUUUCUGGGCCUUUCCAUCACUGGUAACAUUUAUCAGUAAUGAUAUUAUGUCUUUUGAAAGGUGUUGACAACGUGUUAAAUGACGUGGGGCCAAGGACAGAUCCAAGCAUUUAGAACUGAGGAACAUCUCUAGAAAUGUUCCUGCUUUGGUGCCAGCUCCUGGUUUGUCCUUAAGCUGAGGGAUCAGCUGUAAAGCUGUUGAUGUCUUGGCUGUGGGGAGGGAGGAGAAAAUGCAACUGCUCUGGUGAGUCUUCAUAUCUAGCUGGGUGUGGGCUAUGGUGGGUGUCCAACAAACUCCCUCAGAUAAAAGGUGUUUAGGUAAAUUCAUACCAGGGAUCUACUGGGAGACACUUUCAGAUGUUUCUGCUUUCUUUUGCAGAGAAUUGAGCCCUUCCCUCCUCCAGAGCCCCCAACACUCAACCUUUGAACAUCAUGGACUGAAGCCUGGCUGAUGGAUGCUUGGAGCCCAGCAGGACUUAAACACUACAUGGAUGGAUGAGGCCAAGCCUGGCCAUUGCUCCUGUGCCAUGGCAGUGCUGAUGCCUGCUGGGCAGCCUGUUUUAUCACUUGCAUGAUCACUAGGUGGGUGAGAAAGCCCACUCUGGUUCUGUAAUUCAGAAUAUACUGUAUAUCUGUAUAGAUCUAGUAUAGUGAAUAUAAGACAAAAUAACUAUAUAAUAAGGGUGUGCUGAAUGCUGCAUGCCAGGGUCAGAAGUUCUGUGGGAGAAUCUGUGUGGGCAGGGGUGAGAAGGACCAGGGAGGGUUGGAAAAAGACAUGUGGGGGAAUUUGGAGCAGUGGGGUGAGGUCUGAGGGCAAAACAGCAACAGAGGAGGGAGGGCAGCUGGGAAGCACAGUGUUUAGGUAGGAGCUGGGUAUCCAGGACCAGGUCACGCUUAUCCAGACCCUGAAUCUCAAACUACUUCACGUUGUCCAGUCAUCCAGGUGAUGCACAUCUACUUAGCUGUGUGCCAUAAAACCAUGGCUUUUCUGCUUGAUCCCGGCACAAGGUGUUGAGGCAGAACAAGGAUGAUGAGUAUUAAGCUGUGGGGGUGCUGCAGAGGAAGGCAGACAUGCCAGCACAGGGAUGCCUUCAGGAAGCAGAAAGCUGGGAGCCACCGCGCCAACUGUGCUCCCUGCAAAGGUCAACCUCGGAGUUCGAAGUACCAGCCUCUGUAUUUUGUGCUGACAUCCAUGGGAAAGGAAGAUUUGGGCUUGACCAGGAGAUGUCUCUGUUAAGCCACGUCGAGCUGAGCGUGGACGCAAAGCGGGAGGAGAGGACUGAGCCGAGGAAGCUCAGACCUGCAGCAAACCACUGCUGGUGGAGGGACCCUCCCUUUGCUCUCACCACUGCCUCAAAUUAGCAACCUGAAGAGCAUCACCUUGUUACAGCCCUCCAGCAGCUACUUAAGUGCUGUUUCUGUUUGGAACAGCUUGGGUGGAGGUAGCAGACGUCUGCCUGACUGCCAAGGCAGACUGCAGCAGGUCUGGCGUGGAGAACCUCUUCUCCCAGUGAGCUCUGCCCAUUGCUGCGUCUCCUUCGGCGAGGAGAAGACACAGUUUUCUCUGGUCUACAGGAUGGACCAGGGACUGGGCAAAUAAAUGGGUUAGGAAGGGACACGCUGUUGCUCCUGGCUCCCGGCCCUGCUGCCUGAUUUGCCUGAAUAGGUGGGAGUAGAGGGCAUUUAGUGGAACAAAAGCAGGUGGGAGUUUUAAUCUGUUAUAUAUGAGUAAGUAAUACAUUUAUAGAGAUAUUUCUUGAGGGCUUGCAGCCUCUGAAAUGUGAGAUUAGCAGAGAAGAAGAAUUUAUCCAGCUAUAUAAUAAAAGCAGACCCGAGUCUUCACUCCCAACCCCAUUAACCUCGCCACGGUUUCUGUGCUUGUGGCAAUUCAGGAGGGAGAGGGACAAAAUACUGCAUGAAGAAGCUGGUGCUGCAGUGCUUGGGUACCGGGAUGCUGCUACUUUUAUCCCUGCCCAUGCAGUGCCAGGCUGCUCUUGCUGAUAGGAUCUUAUUUUUGGGACCAAGCCCUGGGCUCUGUCGUGCUCCCCCAGG